UUUUUAAAAAAUCUCGAAUUAAACGCAAAAAAUGAAAACAAUAAAUUGACUACAAUUGGUGACCUUAUCUUUAAAUUGUACCAUAUUAAUAUUUUCCGGGUAAAGUUUGAAUGAAACAAUGCGCUGCACUUUGUGUAAAUAGAAAAUAAACAUUUAUUUCUCCUUUAUUGAUACGGUCAAUUUACCUACAAUCAAUUCGUUUUGGGUGGAAUUUAAAAAUAAUAAUACCUGUCUACCUAUAAUGAUUUUUGUAAUAAUAUAG
rnacentral:misc_RNA from 1 species